GCCCCUGUCGUCUAGUGGAUAUGACACAGGCCUCCGGAGCCUGAAACCCGGGUUCGAAUCCCGGCAGGGGCA
rnacentral:tRNA from 2 species